rnacentral:rRNA from 1 species
UGGGGAAUAUUGCGCAAUGGGGGAAACCCUGACGCAGCGACGCCGCGUGAGCGAAGAAGGCCUUAGGGUUGUAAAGCUCUGUUUUAGGGGACGAAAGACUAGAGGAGUAACUGCCUUUAGAGUGACGGUACCCUAAGAGGAAGCCCCGGCUAACUACGUGCCAGCAGCCGCGGUAAGACGUAGGGGGCGAGCGUUGUCCGGAAUUACUGGGCGUAAAGAGCACGUAGGCGGGAACUUAAGUCAGGUGUGAAAGACCGGGGCUCAACUCCGGGGUUGCACAUGAAACUGGGUUUCUUGAGGGCAGGAGAGGGAAGCAGAAUUCCUGGUGUAGCGGUGAAAUGCGUAGAAAUCAGGAGGAAUACCAGUGGCGAAGGCGGCUUUCUGGACUGACCCUGACGCUGAGGUGCGAAAGCGUGGGUAGCAAACAGG